GACCCUCUCCGCCAUUUAAAGAAACAGUACCGGGGGCGGGCCGAGCGACGCAGCCGGGACGGUAGCUGCGGUGCGGACCGGAGGAGCCAUCUUGUCUCGUCGCCGGGGAGUCAGGCCCCUAAAUCGAAGAAGCCCUGGCGCGCCCUCCCCCCCUCCCGGGUCUGGUAGGGCGAAGGAACGGGCGUGCGGUCGAUCGAGCGAUCGGUUGGCGGCUCUUUCUCCUGCUCUGGCAUCCAGCUCUUGGGGCGCAGGCCCGGCCGCCGCGGCGCGCGCCCGGUGGCCGUUGGCGCUCGCGCCGCGUCUUUCUUCUCGUACGCAGAACUCGGGCGGCGGCCUAUGCGUUUGCGAUUCGACGAGGAGUCGUCCGGGUGGUCGGCGGCGGCGGGCAGCUGCUCCGCCCCGCUCCGGGGGAGGCGGCGGCGGCAGCGGCCGCGGGAUUUGGAGCGGCCGGGGAGGCGGGGGUGGCCGGGGCCGGCUUGGAGGCCUGGCGCCACCCUUCGGGGCCUGCAAGGACCCAGUUGGGGGGGCAGGAGGGGGCCGGAGGAUGGUUGGUUGUGGGAUUUCUACUUUGCCUUUUCCUCCUUAUGCCGCCUUAGUGAGGGGCGGGAGCUCUGGCGGCAGCCCCGGGGUGGGGAGACGAGCUCCGGAGUCGGAAGAGCUGGGUUUUCUUCCGGGCCUAGCCACCAGUUGGCGGAGUGACCUUAGGCGAGUCACUCUGUAAUUUGUCUGCGCCUCAGUUUCCUCCUCUGCCUAUCAAUGUGUGUGGGGUUGAAAUCGCUUUGUAAACUAUAAAGCGUGGGUGUACGUAAAGGAUGGUUAUUGUUUAUAAUUUUUUUUGAGUUGUAAGAAAACUUAGCAGUUCCCCAAUCCUUGGGUUUUGAACCUGGGAACCUUGGAUUGGAGUUGGGGAUCCCCAAACUUCCUGAAAUUGUGGGAAUGUGCGGUUUGGGGGAAUGAUGGGAAUUUGUGGGAAUGUGCGUUUUAGGGGAAUGAUGAUCCAUCGCUAGCAAGUUUUCCAAGGGGGCUGUGACCCAGAAGAGUUAAGAAUCACAAUUUCUUCAUGCUACAGAGAGGAAACUGAGGCCUAGAUGUCAUUUGGGACCCUUCACAACCAUUUUGAAGCCCUGUUUGAGUCCCUGGGAUAUGUGAGCUGUUUCUAUGCAUAAUGGAUAUUCGGGGUUAACAACAGUCCCCUGCUUGGCUUCUAUUCUGAAUCCUUUUCUUUCACCAUGGGGUGCCUGAAGGGUGGCUGAUGCAUAUGGUACAAUGGCACCCAGUGUAAAGCAGCUACAAUUAGGAGUGGAUGUGUUCUGUAGCAUCCUAUUUAAAUAAGCCUAUUUUAUCCUUUGGCCCGUCAACUCUGUUAUCUGCUGCUUGUACUGGUGCCUGUACUUUUCUGACUCUCAUUGACCAUAUUCCACGACCAUGGUUGUCAUCCAUUACUUGAUCCUACUUUACAUGUCUAGGCUGUGUGGUUGGUGGUGAAUAGGCUUCUUUUUACAUGGUGCUGCCAGCCCAGCUAAUUAAUGGUGCACGUGGACUUUUAGCAAGCGGGCUCACUGGAAGAGACUGAACCUGGCAUGGAAUUCCUGAAGAUGUUUGGGGUUUUUUUCUUUCUUAAUCGAAAGUUAACAUUGUCUGAAAAGUUUUGUUAGAACUACUGCGGAACCUCAAAAUCAGUAGAUUUGGAAGUGAUUCAAAGCUAAACUUUUUCCUUGGCCCUCCUUGUGUUCUAAUUGCUUGCAAGUGUAAUACUAGGAUGUCCAAGAUGCCAGUUUUUGCUUCUUUGUUAGUUGUCAGCUGCUUUUAUCAAAUUUCAGGCCAUUAUCCAACAAACACUAUAAAAAUGUUUGAACAAUUGGAUUUCAAACAUUUUCGUUUUGUGGAGUGGUGCUCACCAAGUGGUACAGCCCUAAGCAAGUGAACACAAACACAUUUAAGUGUAUUUUGUCUGAUUAGAUGUUAGCCAGUUAUGCUAUUUCAUUCAAAUGUCUGAAAAAAUCAAUUGACUAUUCCCUUUUCCUAAAGGGCAGAGACAGAUAAUCUCACUUCCAGAGAAAUGACUUGGAGAAAAAAAAGUGUUGGUCUUUUUGCUCUUUUGUAAUUAAAUCCGGAUGUACCUCAAAAGACUUAAGACUGUGGUGAUAAGAUGCUUUCCUCAGCAGAAAGGAGGGAAAAAAAACAACUGGAACUCAAAGCUUGAAAUUCUGUGGCAAAACAUGAGAUGUCCAGGAUUGGAGGUUGAAAAGAUUUCACUACAGUGUUCUGCAAUAGUUGGAGCAGAUAACUUUCAGUGUAGCCACAGCCAUGGACUCCAGAUUUCCAGAUUUUCAAGACCUGGACCUGGAACCCGAAAGAGCUUGUCACGAUGCGGCAGGAACACUGGAGGUAGAUUUUUUUUUAUUUUUGAAUUUUGGGACUGUUGACCUUGCUGUGAGAAAAGAGACAACGACUGAGCAAGCACUACCACCAGCACUGUUACUGGGAAUUAGAAGACCUGAGUUUCUGUCCAGACCCUCAGUGCAAACUGAGGAUGCUCCAUCCAAAGUGAAUUAUGAUAGCAGACUCCUUGAAAGCAGGGUCCUUGUUUAGUGCAUCUUUGCCCACAUACACCACAACAUAUCAAGAUGCAUUUAUUAGGAAGGAGGAGUUUAGAGAGCAGGCUAUCAGAAUAACCACUCAUCCUGUGCCUCCUGAUUGCUGAGUGUUCACCUGGACCUUCUGACUACCUUCCCUGUGCUAUUCCAUCAGCCUACAGACCUGGUACCUGGAUUUUUGCCCGAGAUGAUUCCUACCACCUUACUACUGACGAAGACACCCAUUCCAGUGGACCACUGUGACCCAGGAGGCAUUCAGCCAUCAUGAUGUGGCCUUUACCUCCACUCCUGUCUUGUUCUACCCAGAUUCAGCACAGCCCUUUAUAGUGAAGUCAGAGUCCUCAAGCCAAAUAGCUAAAGCUGUUUUAUCACAACAAAGGCCUAGUUUGUUCCAUGAGUGUGCAUUUCAUUUCUUCAGUUAAAGCCUUCAGAGACACACAAUAAAUUUGGACCAGGGGAUUUUUUAGUUAUUAAUGCUCUCUGAAGAAAGGCAACAUCUUUUUGAGAGCAGCAUUGGACCACACCCCACAAUCUCAAAUGAUUGAAAUUCAUGAACAUCUAGGAUCCCGUGAAGGUCACUGGACCCUGUUUUUUCUACUUCAAAUCCUGUAGUAGCCUACUGAAUGAGAAAACAUAUUCUGACCCAUUGGGAUCAAAUCAAAGGCACAGUGAACUCCUCAUAGCAUCUUCUUUGGAAUUACUCAGGAACCAGAACUUUUUACACAAAUGUAAGAAAUUCUACCAAGGAGUCCCCUUACCUAACAGCAUCUCACAAGGCUGCACCAGAUUCCAGAAAAGGCUUCUCUUGAUACAUCAAGGUAGAACCUCUAUGGUAAAUCCCUCUGUUUAUAAUGCACUUUACAGUUUCAAAGCACUUGUACGUACAUUUAUCUCAAUUAUCAAAAUAACAGUGAAUUAUAAUCCCUUUUUGGAAAUGAGGGAAUGUAAAUUUUAAAAGUUAAGCAAUUAUCCAAGGUGACACAGCUGUGAAAGUGGUAGAGGCCAGGCUUUCUGACACCCAGUCCAGUACUCUCCUUGGAAUUAGCCUCCAUUUUACCCACAGUGUUAAAAUGGCUGGGUAUUGGGAACCUCAGGAAAUUUUCCAGCUUCCUGAUCUGGUGCCCCUAGUCACAUAGGAUGUGUGAUCACGUGAUAGCUACAUCUGGACCAGAAUCCCAUGGCAAUAUCCCACGGUUUAAGGGCAUAAUAUCUCCGUGGUGGUAGAUUGUCAAGUCAAAAACGGGACAUGUUCUAACAGCAAAGCUACCCAAUAUGAAACACAAAGCUACUUUUAGAUUUUUUAAGACUUACUGAUAUUCCUGGGCCCUAAGAGCUUGUCUAUGGUCCUAUCUUUGCAAACUAGUAUUUACACAAAAUGAGCCACCUGGUUUUUUUAAAGUCAGUAUUGUGUGUGUGUGUGUAAAUAUGACAUGGAGAAAGCUUCUGUUACCUAGUAAGAUAGUAAAGUAUGUAAGACAUGGCCCUUCCCCCAGUCUACAUUGAGGUAUAGUGUAUUAAAGGAUCUCAGGAGACUUGCAGCAAAUUACUACUGCUUCUGUGCUUAAAUUCAGAAGUCUGAAAAAAAAAAAAAAAGACUUCUAGUAAAGAGUUCCAUUUUGCUGUUUAACCCUUUGUGUCCUAAGUUUAAUCAAACACAGAAGGAUAUUUUUUUGCAUCAUUCCAUCUAAUGGAAUGCAGAAACUGCUCUAGAGCAGUAUAACCAGUGCUUCCUGAUUGCCAGCAGAUUGCCCUGGACACCCCAGAAUAAACAGCAUCUUCAAAAUCCCCCUUUCUCAUACCUUCUUAUUAAUGGUUGAAUUAGUAUGUCUCUGUCAUCUGAGAGUCUUGCAUCUUGACCAUUACCUUUAUUUUCUGUCAAGGGAAUCCCUAGAAGAUGUAUGGGGAGACAUAGGAAAGGAAUGGAAGAAAGUUAAUUCACCCCAAAUUGGAUAAAUUCCAUGACAUUUAGCAAUAUACUUCUGUAUCCCUAGAAUUGUAUCAUAACUUUAGUUCAAGGACAUUGCAUCUCAGGUGGGUUAAGGAGGUUGGGAAGGGGAGAAAAGGGAUGAGGAGAUAUUUUCUUGAGAUUUAUCUCCUUGAGAUAAUGCUUGAGAAGUCAUCCAGCCAUGGACUUCUUGGAGUAAUACUUACAAAGAAUUGGAUGCAUUUUGCAUCCUUAGGCAAAAACCCCAGUGCUGUUACAACUGAAAAUCAUUAGCCUUGUUCUCUGAUAGAUACUUACAAGCCCAACUGCAGGCAAUCAAAAUUUAUAGCAGAUGAGUUCUAACUCCAUCAACCUGUAAUGUGGUCCAUCUUAGGGAAAGAAUAGGAAAACACCUUGGUUUACCACAGGCUUUGCUUACAGUUUCUGCUUUCUGUGACCUAUUUUUUGUAUUUCAGCAUUUUGUGACCGACUUAUUCUUAGAUCAUUGGUUUUCCAAAGGCUUUGUGGCCAUGAAGCCCUUUGAGUGAAAACUGUGCAGAAGCCCAGAGUAAAAGUGAAGCUGCUCUGGAUGAAGUAGUGAAGCAAGAGUAGGGGCCUGAAUCCUGCUACAACUAUCUUCCUUUACCACCGUGGUGACACCUAAGGGGACUUCCUUACAACACCUUGAACUCUUCCGAACACAGUUUGAAAACCACUGCCCCAGACAGCAAUAUGUUUGACCUGAAUGGCAUUCCAAUCUUUUCUGUACCUCCACUCAGCACAGUUCAUGUUCAGUAGAUGCUGAACAUUCUUAGAAAUACUGUGUGUGAACUUAGAAAAGUGCAAGAAGACAGGCAUGUCUUUGACCCCAGGAAUGAUCAUUUGCUGAAGAUGGUGUCAAGUGAACCUAGAUUAACAGCCCUCCACUCCAGAUGGAUAUCCAGUGAUUCCUAGAAUGGGAUAUAGCCAGAGAACAAUUCUAUGCACCCUACACUGACAGACUCCCUUAAGCAACACCAGAUGCUCUACUGGUACUUGAAGUACAUGACUUUGAAGUCUUGACCCUCCAUGAAUACCUGAAUUAUCAGCAAGCGGGUUUUGAAGCUGGUGCCUCAUUGAGGCCAUAUUAGAGCAACUUGUACAUUUGACCUCUUGUUAUCAGCCAUGGUACUCUACUUCGUGUGCAAGAGAUAACUAUGAAAGCCAAAUUCAAAUACUGGCAACAUUUCCUAAAGGGGCUCAAUAUCUAUCAUUCGUCUUCUUUUCCAAACUACACAUCACUGUAUGACUCAACCAGUAGCAGUUAUAUUGCCCCUUGGUUUUUAUUCAGUUUAACUACUGUUUCCAAGAUAAAUGAGCUAAUAAGCUUUAAAAAAAAAAAAAAAAAAGGCUGAAUUCUUUUUUCUUCAUCACUGGCAUAUCUGCCUAUUCUCCAGAAUUAUUAUGACUAUUCAGCUCACUUUAACAGUUGAACUUCAAGCGACAAUCUUUGAACACCCCUUCUCAUGUGAUUUAAAAUGAAACCAUUUGGAAAAGUUUCUUCUAGCCAGUAAUAGAUUUUUUUUUUAAUUGCUCUGCCUUGUGCCGAGAGAUGUUCUUUUAAGAUGAAUCUUUUGAUGUCUGAUACCACCAAAUAUAGGUGGUAGGGAGAGUUGGAGGCUGGCCCUUUGAGCAGGCCAUUAGCUUACUUGCUGGGCAUUUCCGAUAGCUUAUUGCCUACCUUUUUGCUGGAAACAAACUGAUUUGAAAAACAAAAUCUAUGAAGACUGCAGCUAAGGAUUUUAUCGGUAGACUUAAGAGCUUUUGUCCUUGUGGAUAUUUUAGUGGAACCACAUCAGUCUCAAUACUGUCAUUUUACACUGACUCAGAGCAGCUGACUUCAUUCCUUGCCAUGAUAUAUAUUUAAGGCAGGCAUUGUAACAGACAUAAAGACAACUUAUCUGUUUCAGCAGGAAGGAUUCAGUUUAUGAACUCUCAGACCAGAUCAUGUUGAACAAGGAGACUUUGAUGUGUGUCAUGAGAAAACUCAUUCUUUACUUCCCAGUCAAUUUAAAGGCCAGCUAUCCUGAGCUACUCGAAUGAAUGCACUGGUUAAACAUUGGAAAUAGUUUGUUUAUAUCCUUGUCUCUCUCUAGGCCAAUUGUGAUUACAUGACUCGACUCUACAUCUCGUCAAACAAGGCCUAGGUCUGGUUGCUGUAGACUGCUCGCCCUCAACAAAUAAAAUCUGGUUGACUAGCCUCCUUGUAUAUACAACUAUUAUUUGUUAAGAAGAAAUUAUCGUCAAUUUUCUACUACCUUCCAAUUGUCAGCUCUUUUUUUCCUCUCUGGUUUUUCCUAUACUUUACAGAAAAAGACAUUGAUCUAUACUGCCAUUCCCUCUAAUCCUGCCAUACUCAGUCAAAAGGAAUGACUUAAGAUGAAGAUGAUCAUCUGCUCGAGUCUAAAAUAUACAUUGUAUAUAAGAAUUGGUGAUUAGAAAAGCAAAAAACCUAAAACUUAAAUCUAGGAGUCUGUAUACUGUCUCCAUGUCUCCAUGCCUCAGAUCUCAUCUAAAUCUUUGAACAGCACCAUUCAACCAAUCUGAGGCCUUGACUUGCUUGUAAGAUGAUUCUCAGAGAUCGGCUGAGUUAAAAAAGAUGACGACUUGAUUACCAAAGAAAGUAGGGCCAACUUUGACAAAUCUGGCUCUGCUGACCCUGUCACUCCCAGAUGUAGCAUAGACUCCUAAACAGAACCUCAAGUCUGAUUGAGGAUAAGGCCUUCUCCUGAGCUGAAAGUUCUUUGGCAGAUGAGCAAGAAACUGAAAGCUGAUGUACCUGACUGGCUCUGUAAGAUCAGAAAACUGUAUCCAGAAUAAGCCCUAUGGAUUAACCCCUGAGUACCCAGAGUAAAAACUAAUUUACAGAACUUCCUUAUUGAUCUGCUGGUUCUUCCAGAUCAUAUUCUGGCUAUUGGUAUGGCUGGCCUUUCUGAAGGUACCCUGCUUGUCUAUUUUCCUGACUCAGCUCUUGCCUGCCUUUUUCACAUGUUGCUGCAAUUAGACUCACCGUGAGGACUACAGUCAAUUUCAGUCUAUCUUGUGCCCAAUACAACAAGGAUUUUUAAUAGUAACAACCCACACCUCACCCACUAGGACUCAAUGUUCACAACAGGAAGGACCAUUGCUGCAUACUCCUUGACCAGCAACUUUUUUGAAGAUAUUUUUAAGUGCAGAGUAGGCCUCUAUUCCUGUAUGUAAUUGUUCAUUUUCAGCACCUGGAACCUCAUCUAUCGGGUCUGGAAGGAAUACAGCAGUUCGAAAGCCGCGUCCAUUUCUCUCCUUCAGUAGUGCAGAAAUGAGUCCGAUUCACCAGUACACACAGAACUGUACCAGUUCAACCUAGCAAAAGAAGAAAAGUUUCCACUGUACUUAAAAUUUACAGCUGACUCAAAUUGCCUCACAGAAUUAUUUGAUGUAGAAGGCUAGUUGUCUUACUUCAGAUCAGCAGGACAGUUGGGCUCUCAGACUCAUGACCACUGAGUUUGCUUGUGUUGAAACUGUGGUUUCAUCCAACAUAUGCUAUUGGACAUGAUUAUUAUUCCAUUCAAAUGGAUUACAGACUUCUUGAGGACAGGACAAACUUAUCUCUCAUGGUGUUUUUUUAGAAUACUUUUAUAACCAAGGAAGAAACCAUGCCAGCUGUUACCAUUCAACUUCUUAAGCAGAGAUUAAGCUUUUUCAUAUCUGUUCUUAUCCUGGACAUCAGUAGUUUUUAAUUGCCCAGCAUCCGUUCCAUCUUGUAACAACUCCCUGAUGUUUCUUAAAACCACCUCUUCCUAUUUUCAGUCUGUGGUUUGGACAGUCUGACCCAACCUUGAGCUUUGUGGGUGAACAUGUAAUUCAGACCUCAUCAAUCAGCAAAUCCAUCUGAACUGUGGAGGAGAAGCUCUCUUUACUGAGGGUGCUUUAGCUUUGUAGGAUGAAAACCUCAAACUAACAGGGCCUACCAUGUAGAGAAUGAAGCCAGUGCAGGGGAAAGCAGAGCCAAAAUAUGGAGAGACUUGAAUCCUGAUGACAGCGUUUGUGCCCCUGGAUCCAACCGUGCCUGAAGCUAGAAUAUCCCCUGGACUUUUCAGUUAUGUGAACCAAUAAAUACCCUUUUUUGCUUAAGUUACUUUGAGUUGGGUUUCUGUUACUUGAAAUUGAAUCCACACUAAUAUAUCUACCAACAUUGAGACUUGACAGAUCCAAGUAUUUAUUAAGCUAGAGGUCAUGGUCACUGAAAUUACUUUCCAAAGUGGAAGACAAAAUGAAACAGGAACUGAGGGAAUAUUUAAGAUCCCACAGAAGCGUAAAAAUGACAUGGUAGAAAGUAAUAGAAAACCUAAAUGUCUGUCAUUAAAGGAUAGGUUAAGGUGUGGUUCAGCCAUAUAGGAAUAUCUCGUAUCUGUUAAAAUGAAUAAAGUACAUUCAUUGUGUAUGGAAAAAUGGCCAUGAUACAUUAGGUGAAACAAGUUAUUAAUAGAAAAGUGUACAGUGUGAACUCAUUUUAAAAUGUGUGUGCUUAUGUUUAUAAAUGCAUAGAAAGGUCUAUUCACAGCUUUCUUUGAACAGUGUAGAUCACAUGAAACUUUCAACUUUAUACAUUUCUGUAUUAAUAUUUUACACUACCCACAUUAUUUUUAAACUUUAUUUUAAAUAAAGAAUUUUUAAAAUUAAAUUUAGUGCUUACUGUUUGACCUUGGCAAGUUAUUCAACACUGAGCCUGUUUUAUCAAAUGAUUUAAAAUGCCUACUUUUAUGUUAGUAAAUAUUAAAUAUAAAUCAUUCAUUACUCAAGUUGACAGAUUGCUAUACCAUUGCUUGUUUGAGAAACUCAGAGCUUAGUAAUUGUUCCUUAGUUUUUUAAGCAUGUCUCCUUCAAGUGAGUUUAUUUGGAUUAUCAGAAUUUUGUGGUUUUAAGGUUUAUCAAAGAUUAUUCUAGUUCUUGACUGAUGUUGAUCUGCUAAGACUAUUGCAGUAUCCACAUUAGGCAGAAAGCAGGGGGAAAGUCACUUUUUUUAAAAAAUCCUUGAAAUAUUCUGAUGUCACUGCAAUUAAGGUCAAUAGUGACCUUUUCAUUGCUAAAUCCGUUACACCUGCAUCUAAUAUGAACUUUCAGCAGCACAGGUAACUCCCACCAGCUUCUUGAAACACUUCCCUUAAGUGCUAUAAUACUUUUAAUUUUCUUUUCAACUUGCAGACUACUCCUUUAUUGUAGGUUCUUCUCCCCAUCAUGUAAAUAUAGGUAUAGUGGACAUCCAUUGCUUUGGCUUGCCAAAAAUCACUUCCCCUUUACUUUAAUCAUACAUCCCCACUUAUCCUUUAGAAAGCUGCUCCUUCCCAUUCUGUGUGGUGGUAGUGGAAAUGUAGAUGACAGUACUCCGGCCUCAUGCCCCCUGGCUGAGGUUUGAGCAAUGCAAGCUCGUUCUGUCCCACAAGGACUUUGAUUCUUAAGAAAGGUGACCACAAAGUGAUCAGAGUUGAGUCAUUCUGAUCGUAGUGUUCUAAAGAAACCAUUUAAAAGUUUAUGAAAGGAGAUCUCCAAAGUAUGCUGGCUCCUAUUCUCCAAGCCUGGUUGUCCAAGUUUUCCUUUGAUUGUAUAAACUACCACAUAGCCUCCUUAAAAUAAGUUUCCUUUUUGUCAGCCAAAAUGGGUUUCUAUUGCUGGUGACCAAAUGACUGACUAAUUACAGAAAUGGAGGCCGGAGAGUUAAAUGGUAGGCCUUUAACCCACAGGAACAUAUGGAGGAUCUGGAAUUGAUUAUUGUACUGAGACAGAUAAUGGCACCAGCUCUUGUUCUGUGUCCCUGGGAGGAUAAAUCUACGAGUUAAGGGUGACAAAACAGUAAUGAUAUCAUUUCUUGUCAUUUGGAAUCGUGCCUGUUGAGAGUAGAAUUUGGAGGGCCAGGUAAUUGUUGACAAUAGGACAAUUUAAAGUGGAUAGACUGGGCACAGUGGCUCACACCUGUAAUCCCAGCACUUUGGGAGACCAAGGUGGGUGGAGCACCUUAGGUCAAGGAAUUCAAGACCAGCCUGGCCACAUGAUGAAACCCCGUCUCUACAAAAAUACAAAAAUUAGCCAGGCAUGAUGGUUAAUCAUGUAAUCCCAGCUACUCGGGAGGCUGAGGCUGGAGAAUGACUUGAACCCAGGAGGCAGAGGUUGUGGUGAGCCAAGAUCGCACUGUUGCACUCUAGCCUGGGCAACAGAGCAAGACUCCAUCUCAAAAAAAAAGAAAGAAAAAAUUAGCUGAGCAUGGUGUUGGGUACCUGUAAUCCCAGCUACUUGGGAGGCUGAGGCAGGAGAAUCUCUUGAACCUGGGAAGCAGUGUUUGCAGUGAGCUGAGAUUGUGCCACUGCACUCCAGCCUAGGUGACAGAGUGAGAUUCUGUCUCAAAAAAAUAAAGUGGAUAAAGCAGGCCAGGACCACUGAGUUAGAAUGGUUACUUUGAUUGCAUUAGCUAUUUUAUUUUUUUUAAUUUUAUUUAUAUAUAUAUAUAUACUUUGAGACAGAGUCUCGCUGCAACGCCCAGGCUGGAGUGCAAUGGUGCGAUCUCAGCUCACUGCAACCUCUGCCUCCUGGGUUCAAGUGGUUCUCCUGCCUCAGCCUCCCAAGUAGCUGGGAUUACAGGCACACGCGAUCAUGCUGAACUCAUUUUUGUAUUUUUAGUAGAGAUGUUGGCCAGGGUGGUUUUGAACUCCUGACCUCAAGUGAUCCGCCCACCUCAGCCUCCCAAAGUGCCGGGAUUACAGGCAUGAGCUACCGCCCCUGGCCCCGGUAGCUGUCUUAAAGUGAAGGGCAUCAGCUCAAACCCAGAAACUGACCUGUGGGCAUAGAAUAAAAUACAGGCCCUUUUUGUGGCCAGGAUAAAUGAAUCUCGGUGCUUAAAUCCACACUAGUACUUGGAGAUUAAUUAUUCAAAUUGCAAAAUUACAAUGCUGGUUGAAUUUGUAGCAUUACUAACGUCUCUUUUGUGAGAGUUAAGGUAUUAAUCAGAAAAGAGACUGUAUAGAGUGCUGAUACCUGGGAAGAUUCAGAAGAUUUAGAGAAUCCCAAUCCUCGAAAUAUCUCAGGAAUGAAGGUUUGGGUUACCCUAUUAGUCAAAAAUCCCUGACUGAAUUAAACAAAAAAGUAUAGUCAAAGAGGAAGAGAUAAAUAGCAGUUAUAGCCCCAUAACCUGUUGGAGAAGUAAGAUCUGUAGCCUCUACCCCAUAUCUUUUAGGUUGCCUUAUUUUAUUUCCCCCUCUCCUCUUUAUUCAUUACAGUAUUCUGCCCUAACAUUUCCUGGCUGAAGUUUGAGCAUGAUGCAAGUUAAUCCAAUCAGAUUUCUCCUCCAUUGGAGCUGAGCCAUUCUAGUGGUAGUGUCCCCUCACUGAUGUGUAUGAGUGUGUUGGUGAUGGUUAAAUAUAUCAGGAAAUCCGUAAGUUGCAGAUUAUCAAGAUGGGGUUAAGAACUAGAGAAGAAUGAGCAUCACCCAGAAAUCUUAGGCUUAUAACUAGAAAUUAUUUUAGGUUAUCUCCCUUUAAGAGGAAGAUCUCCCUUUAGGGGGGAUUAUGUUGAGUGAAGGUAUUAAGAUUGUUCAUGUUGAAGAAUGCAUGUCCACAUAGUGUACGUUUGCCUACCCAGUGUUAUCUUUUUCCCCUCUGAGAAUAGCACUUCACCUUUCCUUUGGGAAACUACCCAUUUCCCAUGCCAUGUGAGCCCAGAGGAUAAUGUGUAAGAGGUAUAUGAGUUUCUGAGAGGAAUGUGAGAGGUCUUCACCUGCCCAGAUUCCUGACUUAAUCUUUAAGUCUUCUUGCCCUGUAGACUCUGAAAAAUCUCAUCCAUUUCCAUGGCCUUGGUUUCUAACUGUAUAUUGAUAAUUUCCAGAUUCCUACCUUUGGCCUUGAUAUGUGUCUUGAGCUCCAGAUCUGAAUGCCCACCUGUACCUUGAUAUCCACUGCUUGAUUAACACAAAGAUACUCUCACCCAACAUAAUAAACGCUGACCUCUUCAUUUUUUCCUUAAAAUCUGCUCUCCAGUGUUCCCUUUGUUGGUAAAUGGCACCACCCUCUACUCUGUUUCUCAAACCAGAACAUGAGAGUUAUUCUCGAAGCUUCCCUCUCUCCCAGAGUCCCUGUUAGUCAUUAAAUGAUCUUGGUGUUAGCAUGUAAAUAUAUACCUUAAAACUAUCUCCACUUCUAUCACUUUGUCCAAGGGAACAUAUAUCUGUUGCUGUAAGUACUAUAAUGCCUUUCUAGUGGUUUCACUGCCUCUAUUAUUGUCCCACUGCAGUCUUCUCUACAGGACAGCUAGAGUAGCCCCCCAAGAGAUAGGGUAUCCCUGUUGCCCAGGCUGGAAUGCAGUGUCAAUCAUAGUUUACUGCAGCCUCAAACUCUUGGCCUCAAGCAUCCCUCCUGCCUCAGCCUCAUGAGUAGCUGGGACUGCAGGCACGUACCACCAUGCCUGGCUGGCCAUUUAUUUAUUUAUUUAUUUUGUAGAUACACUAUCUCGCUAUGUUGCCCAGGCUGGUCUUGAACUCCUGGCUUCAAGCAAUCCUCCCACUUUGGCCUCCCAAACCACUAGGAUUACAGGUGUGAGCCACUAUGCCCAGCCUACUUAACCUUUUAAUAGUUCCCCCGGCAUUUCAGAAUAAAAUCUAAACUCUCCUGGUUUACAAGGCUCUUCAGCUUCUCAUUAUCUUAUUCCUCAAGCUUCAUCUUUUGCCACUUCAAACAGGAACAACUCAAUUUUGUAUAUUGGAAUUUCCUGUAUUAUUAUUAUUUCAUUUGAAAAAAAAGUUUCCACUUUUUUUUUUUUUUUUUUUUGAACUGAAGUCUUGCUCUGUUGCCAGACAGGAGUGCAAUGGCACUACCUCGGCUCACUGCAAUCUUUGCCUCCCAGGUUCAAGCAAUUCUCCUGCCUCAGCCUCCCGAGUAGCUGGGACUACAACUGCGUACCACCAUGCCCAGCUAAUUUUUUGUAUCUUAGUAGAAACGGGGUUUCACCAUGUUGACCAGAAUGGUCUCAAUCUCCUGACCUCGUGAUCCAUCCCCCUCGGCCUCCCAAAGUGCUGGGAUUACAGGUGUGAGCCACAGUGCCUGGCUGGGUUCCACAUUUUUUAAAGCAGUGGAGAUGCAAGAAUUCAUUAAAAGAAAGACAAAAUUGAAAUGAUUAUUCAGAACAACCCAAAAGCCUAUUGCUAUGAAUACUGUAAUUUAUUUUCUUCCAUAUUUCUUUCCAUGAAAUUUUUAAAAAUCUAGUAUUUGUAACUGAUACAGAGAGCUACAGUAAGGUGCCUAGAGAGCAACCAAAUCCCUACCUCACAACAUUUACAAAGAUAAAUACCAAAAGGACUACAGAUUUAAAUCUUAAAAUGAAACACUAGAAGAAUAUUUAGGAGACUAUUUUUGUGAUCUUAUGACAUGGGAGAUUUUCAUAAACAAAGCAGAAAACCUACAAGCCAUAAAGGAAAUUACAGACAUAUAAGACUACAUGAAACAAAUCUUGGUUCUGUAAAAGAUGUGAUAGAUUGGAGAGAUAUUUCCAACAUAAAUGACAGAUCCAGGACUAAUGUUGCUAAUACAGAGAGUUCCUACAAAUUUAUAAGUAAAGUAAUAAUCACUAGCCAUUUAUUUGGUGUUUGUUUCAUACUUGGCAUUGUUUCAGGCACUUUACAAGUGUUAUUUAAUUGUCACAGUUUAUGAGAUAGGCAAUAUUAUUCCUGUUUUACAGCUACGGAAACAGGCUCAGAAGGAUAAAAUAACUUGCCCAUGUCACACAAUAGGUGAUAGAGCUAUGACUCAAACACAGGUUGUCUGUUAGUCUGUACUUUGAACCAUGAUGCUCUUCAACAUUUCCGUAAGCAUAUGAAAGAUAAUGAGGUCAGUGAGAUGUGAUGUACAACAGAGCAAUGAAGUACCAUUUGCCACCUAUCAGAUGGCAGAAUUUAAAAGAGCAGUAACAUAUAGUGCUGGCAAGAAUUAGGGUAACAAAACUUUUAUACAUUGUUGGUGGGCAUGUAGAUUGUUCCAAUUUUUUUAGAUGAUGAUCUGGCAAUACUGAUGCAAAUUUUUAAAUAUACACUUUUGGACCCAGCAUUCCUACUUUAAAGACUCUCAAAGAACUAAAAGCACCAAGAUAAAAGGACAUCAGUAUGAGAAAUUUACUGCAACGUAACCUGUGCUAGCAAAAAAAUUUAAAAAGCAAUCGAUCAAAGUGGAGUGGUUGAAUCAGUUAUAGGACAGCUAUACUGUGGAGUGUUAUGCAACUGUUAGAAAGAAGACCUCUAUUUCUUAGCCUGUGGCAUGUCCAUGAUGCAUUAAGCAAAACAAACAAAAAUUACAGAGUAAUGUAUAUCAUAAUAGCCCAUUGUAUGGGGUGCAGGGCUGGAAGCCCUACAAAUGUAUCUAAAUGAACAUGAAAGAAAAGUGGAAGGAUACACCAAAUUGAGGGGUUUGGAGAAACUUGGUGCUUUAUACAUACUGGCAUUGUUUCACUGGUUGUGGGAGCACAUCCUUUUUUUUUUUUUU
rnacentral:lncRNA from 1 species